CCUACGGGAGGCUGCAGUGGGGAAUAUUGGACAAUGGGCGAAAGCCUGAUCCAGCCAUGCCGCGUGUGUGAAGAAGGCCUUCGGGUUGUAAAGCACUUUCAGUGGGGAAGAAAGCCUUGGGGCUAAUACCCUCGAGGAAGGACAUCACCCACAGAAGAAGCACCGGCUAACUCCGUGCUAGCAGCCGCGGUAAUACGGAGGGUGCGAGCGUUAAUCGGAAUUACUGGGCGUAAAGCGCGCGUAGGCGGUCUGAUAAGCCGGUUGUGAAAGCCCCGGGCUCAACCUGGGAACGGCAUCCGGAACUGUCAGGCUAGAGUGCAGGAGAGGAAGGUAGAAUUCCCGGUGUAGCGGUGAAAUGCGUAGAGAUCGGGAGGAAUACCAGUGGCGAAGGCGGCCUUCUGGACUGACACUGACGCUGAGGUGCGAAAGCGUGGGUAGCAAACAGGAUUAGAUACCCUGGUAGUC
rnacentral:rRNA from 1 species